UCCCUGGUGGUCCAGUGGUGGUCCAGACUCUGCACCAACAAUGCAGGGGGCCUGGGUUCAAUCCCUGGCCAGGGAA